AUAUGUCAAUAGCCUUUACUUUCAGUUUCUUUGGAAAAGCAACGUCUUCAUUGAAGGAGUGAAAAAAAAAGAAAAGAAACGUUGCUAGAAACUCUUGAGGGCAUUCAAUAAAAAUAAUUGUGUUAGAAGAAGUUACUUACUGUUUCUAAUACAUUUGGCAAACUUUCGGCCAAUUCUCACUCCAACAAGAAUUUUAGAAACGUUAGAGUAAAAUUAACGGUUUUUCUCCACUUAUCCUGAUUGGUGAAGCCCGAGACCUAAGUUAUGAUUAACUUGAGAAGCGACAAGGUACAGAUGCUCACGUUAGGUAACCCACCAGCUUAGGAGUCCUAUUCAGCUAUCUUGGAGAGCUCCCUUGUUCCGGAGCCUAGAUUUUGGUACAAAAUCUCUUAUGGUGUAUAUGUAUUUUAUCCAGGGGUACGGCGGGGCCCUGUCCCGUCAUAUGAUACUGUUGUUACUCUUAGGGGUCUGUAGACAUAUGUGUGGGUUAUGUAUAAGUUCUGUUCAGCUGUGUCUAUACGAUGUGCUAUGAUAUGAUGUCUGUCUGUAGUGGCAGCCUUGUCGGCUUGCAUAUGACACGAUAUUGAUGUGUAGUGGCAGCCUUGUCGGCUUGCGUAUCAUUUUAUGAUUUGAUCAGUUGUGACUCCUCAGGAGACAGUUUAUCUGAAUAUACAUAUAUGAUGACGUUAUGAA